GACGAACGCUGGCGGCGUGCUUAACACAUGCAAGUCGAACGGAAAGGCCCUGCUUUUGUGGGGUGCUCGAGUGGCGAACGGGUGAGUAACACGUGAGUAACCUGCCCUUGACUUUGGGAUAACUUCAGGAAACUGGGGCUAAUAUCGGAUAGGAUCUCCUGCUCCAUGGUGGGGGUUGGAAAGUUUCGGCUGUUGGGGAUGGACUCGCGGCUUAUGAGCUUGUUGGUGGGGUAGUUGCUUACCAAGGGUUCGACGGGUAGCCGGCCUGAGAGGGUGAACGGCCACCAUGGGACUGAGGUACGGCGCAGAAUCCAACGGGAGGCAGCAGUGGGGAAUAUUACGCAGUGAGCGGAAGCCUGAUGCGGCGGCGCCGCGUGCGGGAUGACGGCCUUCGGGUUGUGAACCGCUUUCGCAUGUAACGAAGCGUGAGUGACGGUAAUGGGUAAAAAAGCACCGGCUAACUACGUG
rnacentral:rRNA from 1 species